AUUGAACGCUGGCGGCAGGCCUAACACAUGCAAGUCGAGCGAGCGGCGGACGGGUGAGUAAUGUCUGGGAAACGCCCGCUGGGAGGGGGAUAUCACUGGGAAAGGGUGGCUAUACUCCCACACAACAACAUGUGCCCACAUGGGAUUAGCUAGUAGGUGGGGUAACGGCUCACCAAGGCGACGAUCCCUAGCUGGUCUGAGAGGAUGACAAGCCACACUGGAACUGAGACACGGUCCAGACUCCUACGGGAGGCAGCAGUGGGGAAUAUUGCACAAUGGGCGCAAGCCUGAUGCAGCCAUGCCGCGUGUGUGAAGAAGGCCUUCGGGUUGUAAAGCACUUUCAGCGGGGAGGCGUUACCCGCAGAAGAAGCACCGGCUAACUCCGUGCCAGCAGCCGCGGUAAUAC
rnacentral:rRNA from 1 species